rnacentral:rRNA from 1 species
UUAUUUGGAGUUAUCGUAUUCGCCUUUAACCCACCCUUUUUUUUUUACUUGGGUGACCUCAGAUCAGGUAGGGAUACCCGCUGAACUUAAGCAUAUCAAUAA